UACGAAGGGGGCUAGCGUUGCUCGGAAUCACUGGGCGUAAAGGGUGCGUAGGCGGGUCUUUAAGCCAGGGGUGAAAUCCUGGAGCUCAACUCCAGAACUGCCUUUGAUACUGAAGAUCUUGAGUUCGGGAGAGGUGAGUGGAACUGCGAGUGUAGAGGUGAAAUUCGUAGAUAUUCGCAAGAACACCAGUGGCGAAGGCGGCUCGCUGGCCCGAUACUGACGCUGAGGCACGAAAGCGUGGGGAGCAAACAGG
rnacentral:rRNA from 1 species